GGAUCUGCCACUUCUUGCAAUCAGCAAACAUACAAAUGGUUAAGAUUGUUGGGGGCUCCACACCAUCAAGUACAAAAUCAGGUUAGCCAUGUGCAUGUUAUUGACUCGAAUGAUGCACUUUUUGCAUGCUAAUUUCGCCCAUGUCUUCCUUUCUUAUGCCCUCUUGCAAAUAUAUAAUUUUUUUUGAGAAAUUUAACGAUUUACUAUUAACAAACGCCCGAUUAUUUAUUCUUUUUUAAAAUGUGAUCAUUUUGCUCAUAAAAUGUGACCUAUUUUAAGCAAGCCAUGCUUUAGUUCCUUUUUAAAAAAUUGCAUUCAAAUAACAGUGCAUUAGCACAAAAAUGUGCCGUUGUCUGCUGGGCUAUUUUUCUCUCAAAGGUUUAGAAGUGACAAAUUAAAAAUCUUGGACUAUUGAAGUCAUAUACUUGGAGGAUGAUCCCCUGGUCAACGACGUAGUAAUAUGCCCGUGUAUCUUGUUCUUUAGAUACAGAUCUUAGCUAGGAUUUGGGAUGAAAG